rnacentral:rRNA from 1 species
UACGGAGGGUGCGAGCGUUAUCCGGAUUCACUGGGUUUAAAGGGUGCGUAGGUGGGAAUGUAAGUCAGUGGUGAAAUCUCCGUGCUUAACACGGAAACUGCCAUUGAUACUAUGUUUCUUGAAUUUUCUGGAGGUUAGCGGAAUAUGUCAUGUAGCGGUGAAAUGCUUAGAUAUGACAUAGAACACCGAUUGCGAAGGCAGCUAACUACAGGGAUAUUGACACUGAGGCACGAAAGCGUGGGGAUCAAACAGG